UGGGGAAUUUUUCGCAAUGGGCGCAAGCCUGACGAAGCAACGCCGCGUAGAGGAUGAAGGCCCUCGCGGUCGUAAACUCUUGUCUAGCGGGACGAAACUCUUUCACGGAAAUACUGUGGAAGAUUGACUGUACCGCUGGAGGAAGCUCCGGCUAACUCCGUGCCAGCAGCCGCGGUAAUACGAAGGGGGCUAGCGUUGUUCGGAAUUACUGGGCGUAAAGCGCACGUAGGCGGAUAUUUAAGUCAGGGGUGAAAUCCCAGAGCUCAACUCUGGAACUGCCUUUGAUACUGGGUAUCUCGAGUAUGGAAGAGGUGAGUGGAAUUCCGAGUGUAGAGGUGAAAUUCGUAGAUAUUCGGAGGAACACCAGUGGCGAAGGCGGCUCACUGGUCCAUUACUGACGCUGAGGUGCGAAAGCGUGGGGAGCAA
rnacentral:rRNA from 1 species